GAUGAAGAACGCAGCGAAAUGCGAUAAGUAAUGUGAAUUGCAGAAUUCAGUGAAUCAUCGAAUCUUUGAACGCACAUUGCGCCCGCCAGUAUUCUGGCGGGCAUGCCUGUUCGAGCGUCAUUUCAACCAUCAAGCCCCCCGGCUUGUGUUGGGGACCUGCGGCUGCCGCAGGCCCUGAAAAGCAGUGGCGGGCUCGCUGUCACACCGAGCGUAGCAGAUCUCAUCUCGCUCAGGGCGUGCUGCGGGUUCCGGCCGUUAAACCACCUUCAUAACCCAAGGUUGACCUCGGAUCAGGUAGGAAGACCCGCUGAACUUAAGCAUAUCAAUAAGCGGAGGA
rnacentral:misc_RNA from 1 species